rnacentral:lncRNA from 1 species
CCACGAAAAUGCACUUAUAACAACAACCAUAACUUUCACCCAGAUCGUAGGAUAAAUUGUAAACUUCCCCAAACUUGAAACUCCAAAAGCUGCCUAUGAUAUUUACCGUAACACCCAAGCGCGUGCACACAUAGGAGGUCCCGUGAAAAAAACGUGCCCCCAAAGGGCCAUCCAACUAAAUCGUUCUGACGCCGGCCCUGUUAUCCGUGCAUGAGUCUCCGAGUCGGCGCUGCUGGUAUUAGUAUCUACUGCUCCCUAGCGACAAGUAGAGUGUGACAUUGAGGACACUGAUACAACACUCACCGCAGUCAGACAUUCGGUGCAUCGAUUCGAUGUAUCUUUCACUAGGUUGUAUUCGAACGAAGAAGCUAAAACUGUUUGUUGUGUUGAAUCUUCGAAAUGAUAAGUUCUGGAUAUGCAGACAGUGCAGGAAUGGCUACACAUGCAGGUUCCUCCAUGGGCACAGGAGAGAUUCAAGGGUGUCCAACAAGUGCAACUAUGAUCCUUUUUCCACUAGGUUUCUACCCCCCUCUGGAAUGAGAUAUCACGUU